rnacentral:lncRNA from 1 species
CUUUUCUCUGUUUAUCUUUCUCUCCCACCCAUUUUAACAGUGAAAGGAAAGAGGAACUGCUCACGGCAACAUGAAGAGGUAAACAUGAAUUUUACUACCUUCAGGAACAGCUUCCCAAGGAGGUUGUAUUUGACUUGGUUUUAAGAAUAGAUCUGUAAUUCUUCAGUCCAAGGAGAAGAAACGCCAGGAAAACUGCACUUGGGAAGUCACAGAAAUGAGGAGAGAAAAGAAUAUGCAUAGAAAACAG